rnacentral:rRNA from 1 species
CACGCCCUAAACGAUGAAUGCUAGAUAUUGGGAGUAUCGACCCUCCCAGUGUCGUUUAAAAUAGUUAACACAUUAAGCAUUCCGCCUGGGGAGUACGGUCGCAAGACUAAAACUCAAAGGAAUAGACGGGGACCCGCACAAGCAGAGGAGCAUGUGGUUUAAUUCGAUGGUAAGCGAGAAACCUCACCUAGGUUUGAAAUGUAGCUGCAAGCCGAAAGAAACUUUGGCCGCCUUCGAGGGUGCUACACAGGUGC